UACGUAGGGGGCUAGCGUUGUCCGGAAUCAUUGGGCGUAAAGCGCGUGUAGGCGGUUCGGUAAGUCCGCUGUGAAAGUCGGGGGCUCAACCCUCGAAUGCCGGUGGAUACUGUCGGACUAGAGUACGGAAGAGGCGAGUGGAAUUCCUGGUGUAGCGGUGAAAUGCGCAGAUAUCAGGAGGAACACCAAUUGCGAAGGCAGCUCGCUGGGACGUUACUGACGCUGAGACGCAAAAGCGUGGGGAGCAAACAGG
rnacentral:rRNA from 1 species